rnacentral:rRNA from 1 species
AGGAGUGACCAUAUCAGCACUAAUGCACGGGAUUCCAUCGGAACUCCGAAGUUAAGCGUGCUUGGGUGAGAAUAGUUCUAAGAUGGGCUUGUCUUAUGACUCGCAAUGGACUCCAU